rnacentral:rRNA from 1 species
UACGGGGGGGGCAAGCGUUGUUCGGAAUUACUGGGCGUAAAGGGCUCGUAGGCGGCAUGUUAAGUCGGCUGUGAAAGCCUGGGGCUCAACCCUCGAAUGCCGGUGGAUACUGUCGGGCUAGAGUGCGGAAGAGGCGAGUGGAAUUCCUGGUGUAGCGGUGAAAUGCGCAGAUAUCAGGAGGAACACCUAUUGCGAAGGCAGCUCGCUGGGACGUAACUGACGCUGAGACGCGAAAGCGUGGGGAGCAAACAGG